rnacentral:rRNA from 1 species
GAGUUUGAUCCUGGCUCAGGAUAAACGCUGGCGGCGCACAUAAGACAUGCAAGUCGAACGGAAGUCGUUGUAAUGAUGUGGACAUGGACAGAGAACUUGUUCGAAGAAAGUGAAAAUUGACUUACAACAAUGGCUUUAGUGGCGGACUGGUGAGUAACGCGUGAGCAACCUGCCUGUUAGAGGGGAAUAACAGUGAGAAAUCAUUGCUAAUACCGCAUAUGCCAUAACUAUCACAUGAUAGAAGUGGGAAAGGAGUAAUCCGCUAACAGAUGGGCUCGCGUCUGAUUAGAUAGUUGGUGGGGUAACGGCCUACCAAGUCUACGAUCAGUAGCCGGACUGAGAGGUUGAACGGCCACAUUGGGACUGAGAUACGGCCCAGACUCCUACGGGAGGCAGCAGUCGGGAAUAUUGCGCAAUGGAGGAAACUCUGACGCAGUGACGCCGCGUAUAGGACGAAGGUCUUCGGAUUGUAAACUAUUGUCGUUAGGGAAGAGAAAGGACAGUACCUAAGGAGGAAGCUCCGGCUAACUACGUGCCAGCAGCCGCGGUAAUACGUAGGGAGCAAGCGUUAUCCGGAUUUAUUGGGUGUAAAGGGUGCGUAGACGGGAAAUUAAGUUAG